CCUACGGGUGGCAGCAGUGGGGAAUAUUGGACAAUGGGCGAAAGCCUGAUCCAGCCAUGCCGCGUGUGUGAAGAAGGCCUUCGGGUUGUAAAGCACUUUCAGUGGGGAAGAAAGCCUUGGGGCUAAUACCCUCGAGGAAGGACAUCACCCACAGCAGAAGCACCGGCUAACUCCGUGCCAGCAGCCGCGGUAAUACGGAGGGUGCGAGCGUUAAUCGGAAUUACUGGGCGUAAAGCGCGCGUAGGCGGUCUGAUAAGCCGGUUGUGAAAGCCCCGGGCUCAACCUGGGAACGGCAUCCGGAACUGUCAGGCUAGAGUGCAGGAGAGGAAGGUAGAAUUCCCGGUGUAGCGGUGAAAUGCGUAGAGAUCGGGAGGAAUACCAGUGGCGAAGGCGGCCUUCUGGACUGACACUGACGCUGAGGUGCGAAAGCGUGGGUAGCAAACAGGAUUAGAUACCCGAGUAGUC
rnacentral:rRNA from 1 species